GCAGGGGUCGCCUAGUCUGGUCAAUUAAACAGAAAAUGGCGUCAGCUUCAGGGGCUGAUGGCUUAGUGCCUUCGAGAGUUCAAAUCUCUCCCCCUGCA
rnacentral:tRNA from 1 species